rnacentral:rRNA from 1 species
GACGAACGCUGGCGGCGUGCCUAAUACAUGCAAGUUGAGCGCUGAAGGUUGGUACUUGUACCAACUGGAUGAGCAGCGAACGGGUGAGUAACGCGUGGGGAAUCUGCCUUUGAGCGGGGGACAACAUUUGGAAACGAAUGCUAAUACCGCAUAAAAACUUUAAACACAAGUUUUAAGUUUGAAAGAUGCAAUUGCAUCACUCAAAGAUGAUCCCGCGUUGUAUUAGCUAGCUGGUGAGGUAAAGGCUCACCAAGGCGAUGAUACAUAGCCGACCUGAGAGGGUGAUCGGCCACAUUGGGACUGAGACACGGCCCAAACUCCUACGGGAGGCAGCAGUAGGGAAUCUUCGGCAAUGGACGAAAGUCUGACCGAGCAACGCCGCGUGAGUGAAGAAGGUUUUCGGAUCGUAAAACUCUGUUGGUAGAGAAGAACGUUGGUGAGAGUGGAAAGCUCAUCAAGUAACGGUAACUACCCAGAAAGGGACGGCUAACUACGUG